ACAGGGAAGGAGCUCCUGCACCCAGGAUCUGGGUUCAAAUCCCAGCUCCAGUUCCCCAGCCUGUCAACUGUCCUGAGUGAGGCGGCUUCUGAAGGGAAGGUCUGUGUAGGCAGCUCAGAGCCCUGGGCUAGAGAGGUCUCUAGGAAGAGGUUCAAGUUCUGUAGCAGAAACUUCCUGCUUGUGUGGGCUUAGGUAAAUUUGCCUGGAUUUCCUCCCCGUAAAAGAAGGGCAUUGGGCUCGCCCACCAGUGUGACUACAUUUAAUAGCCUGCAGAAAGGCCAAGGAUGAGGCCUUAAAGGGAAAACUGGAAACCCAGCCCUUUCUAACCUGGCAGUAUUGGGCCCGGUCAUACAGGAGCUUCUUCUGCGGAGGAGUCGGCCUCAGAGUCCCCACCCCCAACCCUAUGGGUCUCAGGUUCCCUUGAUCUCAAUCCUUCCGAUCGGCCAGCACCCGGCCGGCCCCUGACCGGCUUGUAACCCAUCCCAGACUCGGACUCUGCCUCUGCCUCUAGGCUUCUCAAGACUUUCUCAACUCCCUUCACGUUUGUGCCUUCCGAGACAAUCCCAGUUCUCCUACGUGGUCUCCCAUUGGGCUGGGAGCACCGGGGAGCAGGGUCACGUUUUUGCCUGCCUUUGUAACUCCCACACAUCGCACAUACAAGCAUUUACUGGGUGCUCAUCGACUGACCACGCCCAGGGGGCCUUGGGGCUGAGCCAGAUGGCUCACUGGUGAUUUACAAGGCCAGCCUCCCAUCCUCCUACUUGGGAGGGCUGCUCUGGGGGCGCCUGUGCAAGCCCCUCUGUCCCCCAGGAGAAACCAAACCCACAGGAACUUUGAUUGCAGGAGGGUGUGUGUGCCAAUGCCUGGCCCUGGUCCUCUAGAGCACAGGGCAGGGCCUCUCUUUUCUGCCUGCCUCCUCUUCCAUUCAUUCCUAUAGAGUGCCCAGAAAAUUCGCGGCAGAAGCAGUUUGGGGCAUCGGCAAAGGCUGCAGAGCCCAGCUGGACAUUUGGAUCCUCAGACUCAUACCUGGGCUGAGAGCUGGACCUUGUGAAGAGAGAACAAGGACAGAGAAAGACCACCAAGGCACAAGACCCUUUCAGUCUUGUAGGAGCAGCAGACACAGCUCUAUGAAAAGCUGGGAUGAGCAAAACCCCAGCCCCUGUGCCAAACAUGUUGGCAGGCCCCCAGAG